rnacentral:rRNA from 1 species
UACGUAGGGUGCGAGCGUUAAUCGGAAUUACUGGGCGUAAAGCGUGCGCAGGCGGUUCGUUAAGUUCGAUGUGAAAGCCCCGGGCUCAACCUGGGAACUGCAUUGGAAACUGGCGAGCUUGAAUGCGGCAGAGGGGGGUGGAAUUCCCGGUGUAGAGGUGAAAUUCGUAGAUAUCGGGAGGAACACCGGUGGCGAAGGCGGCGACCUGGGUAGAUACUGACGCUGAGGUGCGAAAGCGUGGGGAGCAAACAG